GCUGCGGUGGCCUAGCUGGUUAGGGCGCCAGACUCAUAGGGUUUUAUUGGAGCGCAAAAACAAUCCGGUUUUUGCGCGAUAAGAUACCUGGGACAUCUGGAGAUCGUGGGAUCGUAACCCACUCGCAGCA
rnacentral:tRNA from 1 species